rnacentral:misc_RNA from 1 species
AAUGUAUUCUUCUUUUUUUUUUUUAAGACUUCAAUUCUUUUCUAUUUUAUUUUUCCUAAAAACUCUGAUUUUGCAAAAUCACUGAAAAGUGAAUGGGAAACUUUAAUAAUCGCGAUUGGUUACAACUUACAAGCUCUAUAAAAAAAUUGCAGAGCAUUCAAUGUCAAAAAAUGGGCUAUAAAUAUAUUUAUUAAUUGUCAAAAAGAAAAAGAACAAAAAAUAUUGAGAUUUUUUAUACAGAGUGAAAAGAGAUUAUAUAACAAUAUCAAUGAAAAUUCUUUACUUGUUAAAUAUUAAAAAUAUAGAAUUUAAUUUAUCAUGAAAAGAAUUACUUAUAGCAAAUAUGAAAAAUUCUAUUAAGAUGAGUUUUAGAAAAUUA